AUCACUCCAGACCCCGCAGAAGGGAUUGCAAGUGUUUGAAAGAGCUGAGGCUUAAUAAACGGCAAGAUUGUCCUUGAGCCAAAUAAUGCAUUUUAAGUCAUCUUUGUUUUUAACUAAAAAGUUUUUUUUUUUUACAUUUAUUUAUUUGUACAGUCUGUUUCUGUGUAAAUGAGCCUCCCUUGUGUAAUGAUUUUCAUUAUUUGCAAGACAAAAUUAGAACGCUGCUUUUCUAAAGUUUAUAAAAAUGUCACUCCCCCUCUGUAAAGUCACUAACUGUAAUAGAUGUGAUUGUUUUUAGUUUGUCAUAGCAAUGUUUGCCAAGCAGUUGAAAACAACACUGUACUUUGCAACAUACAUUUUGCUACAAUGCACUUUCAACAUUUAUUUUCAAAUCUAAAUGCUUAAAUUCUAAUGUUUACUUUAGUUUAUUUAUUAAAUCUGAUUGUACUGUAAAAUGCAAUACUACUGUAAAUGUACAUUGAAAAACACAUUCAGGUGAUUUUUUUAUAAUAAAUAUAUGACCAAACUUGAGGUCCACAGUA